UGCAAGUCGAGCGAUGAAGCACCUUCGGGUGUGAAUUAGCGGCGAACGGGUGAGGAACACGUGAGAAAUCUGCCUUCAACACUGGGAUAACUCCGGGAAACCGGGGCUAAUACCGGAUAUGAAAUCUGCGGGCAUCCGCGGAUUUGGAAAGUUUUUCGGUUGAAGAUGAUCUCGCGGCCUAUCAGCUUGUUGGUGAGGUAAUGGCUCACCAAGGCGACGACGGGUAGCCGGCCUGAGAGGGCGACCGGCCACACUGGGACUGAGACACGGCCCAGACUCCUACGGGAGGCAGCAGUGGGGAAUAUUGGGCAAUGGAGGAAACUCUGACCCAGCGACGCCGCGUGCGGGAUGAAGGCCUUCGGGUUGUAAACCGCUUUCAGCAGGGAAGAAGCGAAAGUGACGGUACCUGCAGAAGAAGCACCGGCUAACUAUGUGCCAGCAGCCGCGGUAAUACAUAGGGUGCAAGCGUUGUCCGGAAUUAUUGGGCGUAAAGAGCUCGUAGGUGGUUCGUCACGUCGGAUGUGAAACUCUGGGGCUUAACCCCAGACCUGCAUUCGAUACGGGCGAGCUUGAGUAUGGUAGGGGAGUCUGGAAUUCCUGGUGUAGCGGUGGAAUGCGCAGAUAUCAGGAGGAACACCAAUGGCGAAGGCAGGACUCUGGGCCAUUACUGACACUGAAGAGCGAAAGCGUGGGGAGCGAACAGGAUUAGAUACCCUGGUAGUCCACGCCGUAAACGGUGGGCACUAGUUGUGGGGACCUUCCACGGUCUCUGCGACGCAGCUAACGCAUUAAGUGCCCCGCCUGGGGAGUACGAUCGC
rnacentral:rRNA from 1 species